rnacentral:misc_RNA from 1 species
AAAAGAAAAAGAAUGGGCGCUCCUUCUCUUCCCAACCGUCCCGCGCGGAAGCUCGAAGGUUUUGUUGUUUACACCCCGCAGAAAAAAAGGAGUUAUAAAUGCAAUGAACUUUGGCGCCUGUCCUGCUGAUAUCGAGGAUGACGAGGUUGUAGCGUCAUUCAACGUUUACGCUUCGCCGGCGCUUGUAAAUCAGGCUCACAUUUUUCAGUACCCCCUGCGUCGUAGGCAGCGGCCAUACGAGGCGACAGAAAUAAAGCUGUUCAGUACAAGCGGAACGGUAGCUGAAGAAGGUGAAGCCCUGCUGGCACACGGAAAGGGUUCGUCGGUACUCCAACCAGGCUCGCGCCUCACAAUGAAGUGUUCUCUGGACACGUUUGGCUCCCCUUCAUUCCGACCAUUGCCGGAGUCCGCAGCGGAUAUGCUGGGCCAGAUGGAGCUUCAGCGACACCACACCUUCAACUACACGUUGCAGUCGCAACCCUUUUUGCCGCAGUCGAAUUACGUGCUUGGCUACAUCACCCCCGAGGGGAUUCACCUCACCCCGGUUUCGACGAUUCAGCAGUUCACUCCGGCGCUGAGCAUUCCAGAGUCAUCCACCGGUGCCGUCCGCGUGGCCGAAGCGUUUUGCAGUCAGUCCAACUCCACGGCAAUGCCUGGGUUUACGGCGGCAGAUCGCAUCCAGCGUGAGCUGCGACGCCAGCGCAGCCGUGUCUUGAACGAGGAAGCGGACACCGCACAAGAGAUACAGUUCUUCCGUGAUGAUUCUGUGGAGAGCUCGGCAAUGCGGUCUCGGCUGCGCUCGUCGACUCUCGAAGGAAUUAUUGGCAGUCCAAACGCGGCGUCGGAGCCGGCCAAAGUGGAAAACAGCCUCUUUCCUCCUGAAAUUCUUCAAUCUGGAGGUAUUUCCGGUGGCGACGAGGCGCACCCGUCGAUGAUUAUUCACCGCUUUGCCAACCGCAAAUCUGUCGCUGAGCAGACCAGUCAACUGCUUCAGCGCUGCCACAUUCUCACGCUCCGGCUACUUCAGAGCAUCGUGGUGCCCUACACGUCGAAUGAGGUGGUGAAGACGAUGUCGACUGUGCCGGAGGCACAGCUGGUGGAGGCGCUGAAGUCGUGUGCCGUUUGGCUGCAUGGUGUGUGGGUUAGUCGGUACUGUGAUCAGUUCCGCGGAUCAGUGGCGGCGCUGCGCGAGGUGAUUUUGGCUCGUUUUUACCAAAGCGAGGAUGGCAGCGUGGCGCGGGCAGACUUUAAUGCCUUGAUCACGACAUCCGCCGCACGGCGCUCGAUCAAGGAAAUCCUCGCAACGGUGGCGGUGCUGAACACAGAAGAGCCCGAUCCAUCCAAGCGGCGCUGGCGACUCAAGUACGUCCCCGAAGAUCGCGCCGCGCGAGAGGCGAAUCUAUGUGAUUUCAAAGCUAAUUUUGCGGCUGAAGAAGCCAGCCAACACGAGGCGUGGCGUCGCCGUUGCGCACAGGUAAUGGCACACAUCCCUUACAUCAACGCAGGGAGACCUGUGCCGCAGCUGUGCCUCCGUCCGCGCGGCACACCACCGACGACUGGCACAGCGGCAUCUGCGACACUCCCGUAUGGCGGUGCAAACACAGCGCAGUCCAUCGCCUCCCCAGUGAGUUCCAUGACGAGCGGCCACUCUGGAAGCGGCGUGGCCGCAUCUGCUUCACCUUUUAGCUCCCCCGCCUCGGGUGCCGAUUUGGGCUUCAAGGACGCUGAUAUUGCGCCGAUUCGGCAUUACAUCCGCGAGCUGUUUGCGGAACACGGCGUCAUUAACAAGCAGCGGGUGAAAGACCUCGUGAUCAAGGCACAGGAAGCACGCUACCCACAUGCGACUAAGGCGAUGCUAAGCACGGCGCUGCAGCAGUGUCUCGACAAGUUCACGGAUGCCACGUGGAUCCUUAAGUCCGCCGGGGAGCCCAUUGUGGACUACUACCGGCCGGCCAUUCUCUACGUGGUGCUGGAGCUGCGCCAGUUUGAGAUGGCGGCGCUCAUGAAGCGGCUGGAGGAGGUGGUGCGAGCGCGUGGCUUGACGUCUCCGCCGGAAUCUGCCGCACUGCGCGGUCGCACUGGUGGUGCAUCCGGCACAUUGGAGGCUGUGGUGCAGCGCGUUGUGGCCGAGGUGGCGGAGUUCAAGGCAGGCGGCCGACUCUGGCACAUCAAGGGCGGCAAUUUGAUGAAUGAGUAGCGAAGCGACGAAAAAACGUGAUCGUGAAGGAGGCACGAAGAGCGCCGAAAAAAGGGGGAAAGCACGCCGCCCUCUUUUUUCUCUCUGUGCGCACUGCUGCACUUGCUCUUCGGUCCCUUCUUCCUCUGGCCGCAUCUUUAUCACACGGAUUUUGGUCUUCGCUACCGAGGCGAUGCGACGGCCAAGCACCCAUUCAUGUCCAUUCGGUCAAUCACUUCCUAGGUGGCCAGCAAGGCAGAGAAAACCGAGAAGAAAGGCGGGACAGAGGGGGCAGGCGGAACAUCCUAAAAAAAAAACAACACGUGCGAGAUAGACGUGCACAUUUGCCCCUUCCGUUGGGAAGGGGCUGAGUGCGUGCCUGCCUUUCCCCACCUUCUCCUUUCGUUAAGUUUUCACACACGACGGGGUGCACAACGAGUAACGAGAGUGGAAGAAGAUCUGUAAAGCACGCACACACGCACGCACCCUCCACCCACGCUCUUAGAAAAGCGGUGGGGGCGUUUGGCGACGCUGAGCUUCGCAUCAACGCACCAGAGAAUCCGAGGGCAGCGCUCAGAUAACCAAAAAAGCAAAAACGAAAGAAAGAAUGGGGAUGCGUGGCUGCGGUUGAACGCAGCAGAAGACGCGAUAUCAACUGCCGAAGGCCCACAUUAGGCAGCGCCCGUGUUGACGGGGAGGGGGACACAUCAGUGCGUGGUAUCGCAGGCUCCACUGCACACGCACACCUCCCAUUCUGUGUGUGUGGGUGUGGGUGGGAAGCCAAAGCAGCCCUCCCCCUCCUCGUUUUUUUUUCCAGCCCUGCCCAUGCCGAACCACUUCGGGUGGUGGCGGGGGUUCCCGUGCCCACGACGCAGAGAGGCCAGAGCGACCUGCGACAGCGCACACGCUUGUGUCAUCCAUGUGAUGGGCGAAGCCUCCGCGUGACUCGAGCGCAUCCCGCCCGACGCUCACUGCCUACUGGUGUGUGUGUGUGGGGUGGGUGGGUGGGGGCCUGGGACACCCCCGAGGGACGCAGCAGGUGGCGACCGGCAGAGAGGGUCUGCGUAGAGUGUGAGGCGGCGGCCGUGCUCAGCUGACUGAGUCGGCGCACUGCUGUGCUGGCGUGUGUCUGCUGCUGCCUCUGCGCACGGCGCGGAUGUGUGGGGCGGGGGUGCAGUGUGGCGUGUGGCCGGCGCUGUAUGGCCGAAAACGAAUGCGCACGCGUUGAAAAAAAAAGAAACAUAGGACCGCGCGCCUGUUUGGCUUUGUGCGCCUGCACACGUUUUAAUGUGUCCUCUCUCUUUCCCUCGGUUGCCUAGAUCACCCACACUCUUGACGUACACGCGUUCUGCUUUCCGCUGACUUCAGCGGGCGGGCAGACGUCAGAAAUGACGCCUUUCUCUCUCUGCGUCUCUCCCCGCUCUUUACCAGUGCUGCACCUCCCCUCCCUCUCUCUCCCUGUCUCGCCUUCACGCCGGUCUCUCUCGUUCUCUUAG